rnacentral:lncRNA from 1 species
AAAUAGGAUCAAUAACUCAAGACUUCUAUGACUAAGCAGUGGGAGUUAACCUAUAAGGACCUUCGAAGGUUGUGCUCGUUUUUCAAUGAACCAACAUCCAUGAAGAUCUUAGUCAUACGAGAAGUGAGGGCUAAUCUAUAAGAACCCCCAAACUUUAACAUAGGCAGAAGACCUCGAUAGUUGGGAAGGAAGGCUAAUGUAUAAGGAUCC